rnacentral:misc_RNA from 1 species
GACCGGGUCUUAGUCUAUACGAGUUUUUGAAAUAUUAAAAAAGGAGCAAUAACCUCUUUCUUGUUCUAUCAAGAGGCGGUAUUGCUCCUUUUUUAUUUAUUUAAGACUUUUUUAGAUAAACUAAUAUUUUUUAAUGAUCAAAAAGGAAUCCUUUUAAAUGCAAAUAAAUAAAAGAAAACUGGCGG